GCGAGACUCGGCGGGUUGUGGAGGGUGGAACGAAGGUAAAAGUCAAGUCUCUCUUUUAUUAUCCCCCAAUUUUCACGAAGUACGAACAAACAAGUCG
rnacentral:pre_miRNA from 1 species